rnacentral:rRNA from 1 species
AUUGAACGCUGGCGGCAGGCCUAACACAUGCAAGUCGAGCGGAUGAAGGGAGCUUGCUCCUGGAUUCAGCGGCGGACGGGUGAGUAAUGCCUAGGAAUCUGCCUGGUAGUGGGGGAUAACGUCCGGAAACGGGCGCUAAUACCGCAUACGUCCUGAGGGAGAAAGUGGGGGAUCUUCGGACCUCACGCUAUCAGAUGAGCCUAGGUCGGAUUAGCUAGUUGGUGGGGUAAAGGCCUACCAAGGCGACGAUCCGUAACUGGUCUGAGAGGAUGAUCAGUCACACUGGAACUGAGACACGGUCCAGACUCCUACGGGAGGCAGCAGUGGGGAAUAUUGGACAAUGGGCGAAAGCCUGAUCCAGCCAUGCCGCGUGUGUGAAGAAGGUCUGCGGAUUGUAAAGCACUUUAAGUUGGGAGGAAGGGCAGUAAGUUAAGACCUUGCUGUUUUGACGUUACCAACAGAAUAAGCACCGGCGAACUUCGU